GCGGGGGCGGGGAUCGCGCCUGUCCGCCCCCGGCCAGGAAGAUCCUCCGCGUGCGGGAGCUGCACCCCCCGCCAGGGGUGGAAAGGAGGCGCCGGCCGCGGAAAGGGGCUGCAGGGCCCCGGGGCGGCGUCGCACACUGAAGGGCCCCGCAGCCGCGGAAGAUCCUGGAGGAUGCUUCAGGAUUCCAGGGGUUUGCCACUUCAUGUCGUAGGGAUUGACAGCUUCUUUCCUGGGUUGCUCGUCCAGAGGUUUAGAAGGAGAGGGACAAAAAUUUUUUUUCCAGCCCUAAAAGCACCUGCGCUCGACUGUGGUGGCAUGUAGGUGACUGCCCUGAGUGUCUGAGGGAGGCAGCAUGGCAAUGGACUCUAUUGCAUUAGAGACAUCCCAGAGCAGGGACAGAAUUGAGUGACCAGGAUCCUCAGUGGUGGACAAACUUGGGGAAAGCAAAGAAUGUCCAUGACAUUUCAGGACCUGCAGAGGAAGAUUUGAAGGAGGUUGGAGUGAUCAUCCCAAUGUAUGGAGGAGAGCACAAGGUUCACUUCUGAAAGAUGGGGCAGGGCAAGGCCAGUCUCCUCUCAGCAAAAGAGGAAACAAGUUGUACAGACCAGCAGUUCCUUCAUGUAACCUCCAUUGAAUAUACAAGGGCUCAAGAAAGACUGACCCAGCAGCCCAUCCCUGCACUGCCUGCUCCGUGCUGUGUUGCGGGUUUGGACAGUGCCACCCUUGGGGCAGUUUUCUUCUCUCCUGCUCCCCCAUCAGUCCUUUGCAGACUGAAGAAAAUGAAGGAGAAUGGGGAUCGCAGAGAGAUGCACGUUCACCCCAUAACCUCUUGCCCUUGGUUUUGUAAAUAUGUUCUGCUGUGCUGUCACAGCUGGACUGCAUGAUUGAAAUUGCAGAAUAAAGUAGCUUCUGGAGAAAACUCCCUAGUGUGCAGCAUUUGUGCUGUUCUUUGUCCAUGCAGCAGCAGUUCUGGCCUCCACAAACCCCU